UACGAAAGGGGCUAGCGUUGCUCGGAAUCACUGGGCGUAAAGGGUGCGUAGGCGGGUUUUUAAGUCAGGGGUGAAAUCCUGGAGCUCAACUCCAGAACUGCCUUUGAUACUGAAGAUCUUGAGUUCGGGAGAGGUGAGUGGAACUGCGAGUGUAGAGGUGAAAUUCGUAGAUAUUCGCAAGAACACCAGUGGCGAAGGCGGCUCACUGGCCCGAUACUGACGCUGAGGCACGAAAGCGUGGGGAGCAAACAGG
rnacentral:rRNA from 1 species